rnacentral:rRNA from 1 species
UACGUAGGGUGCGAGCGUUGUCCGGAAUUAUUGGGCGUAAAGGGCUCGUAGGCGGUUUGUCGCGUCGGGAGUGAAAACUCAGGGCUUAACCCUGAGCCUGCUUCCGAUACGGGCAGACUAGAGUACUGCAGGGGAGACUGGAAUUCCUGGUGUAGCGGUGGAAUGCGCAGAUAUCAGGAGGAACACCAAUAGCGAAGGCAGCUCGCUGGGACGGUAUUGACGCUAAGGCGCGAAAGCGUGGGGAGCAAACAGGG